rnacentral:rRNA from 1 species
UACGUAGGUGGCGAGCGUUGUCCGGAUUUACUGGGCGUAAAGAGUGCGUAGGCGGUUUCGCAAGUUUGGUGUGAAAUCUCCCGGCUUAACUGGGAGGGUGCGCCGAAAACUGCGAGGCUUGAGAGUGGGAGAGGUAAGCGGAAUUCCCGGUGUAGCGGUGAAAAUGCGUAGAUAUCUGGAGGAACACCGGUGGCGAAGGCGACAUCCUGGACCGGUAUUGACGCUGAGGCGCGAAAGCCAGGGGAGCAAAGCGGG